rnacentral:rRNA from 1 species
AAGGAAGUACGAAAGGGCGUACGGUGGAUGCCUAGGCUCUUACAGGCGAUGAAGGACGUGAUAAGCUGCGAAAAGCCGCGGGGAGAUGCAAAUAAUCUUUGAUCCGCGGAUAUCCGAAUGGGACAACCCAGUGGAGCAAACCUCCACUAUCCCGCUAUUGCGGGAGGCGAACGCUGGGAACUGAAACAUCUUAGUACCAGUAGGAAGAGAAAAUAAAAAUGAUUCCCCUAGUAGUGGCGAGCGAACGGGGAAUAGCCCAAACCAUCGGGAUUCCGGUCCUGGUGGGGUUGUAGGACUGCGUGAUUGCAAGAAUUAUGGUGAGAAGAAGCAACUGGAAAGUUGCGCCGUAGCGGGUGAUAGCCCCUUAUUCGAAGCCAUAGGAAGCAUAGCAGUAUCCUGAGUAGCGCGGGACACGAGAAAUCCUGUGUGAAUCCGGCGGGCCCAUCCGCCAAGGCUAAAUACUCGUAAGAGACCGAUAGCGAACCAGUACCGUGAGGGAAAGGUGAAAAGCACCUCGUGUAGAGGAGUGAAAAAGUUCCUGAAACCGUACGCCUACAAGCGGUCGGAGCUUCAUAUAUGGAGUGACGGCGUGCCUUUUGCAUAAUGAACCUACGAGUUGCCGGUACCAGCAAGGUUAAGGGUUUUGAAAUCCCGUAGCCGAAGCGAAAGCGAGUCUUAACAGGGCG